rnacentral:rRNA from 1 species
GGCGUAGGGCGCGAGCGUUGUUCGGAAUUACUGGGCGUAAAGGGCGCGUAGGCGGCCCCUUUUGUCGCGUGUGAAAGCCCCGGGCUCAACCUGGGAGGUGCGCGCGAAACGGGGGGGCUUGAGUUCGGGAGAGGAGCGUGGAAUUCCCAGUGUAGAGGUGAAAUUCGUAGAUAUUGGGAAGAACACCGGUGGCGAAGGCGGCGCUCUGGACCGAGACUGACGCUGAGGCGCGAAAGCGUGGGGAGCAAACAGG